rnacentral:ncRNA from 1 species
UUAUAAGUUGCGAAGGGGAGUAGUAUUUAUUAAUGGAUAAAGAGAGGAAACUAAUGGUGGGAUGUUUCUACCCUCUUAAUAAGGAACCAGCCCUAGAACUUUUAGAAUAAGAUUCUAAACGGAUAGCAUACGUUAAAAGCUUUAAAAGUGAACCUUAGGGUUUAUUAGAGUGGUACCGCGGAAGAGUUAGCCUUUCGUCUCUAGA